rnacentral:lncRNA from 1 species
CCUCACUAACCCGCUGACCCGCAGGCACCGGGGAGACGCCGACGCUCGGAACGCUGGACUUCUACAUGGCGCGGCUUCACGGAGCCAUCGAGCGCGACCCGGCGCAGCACGAGAGACUGAUCGCGCGCGUCAAGGAGAUCCUGGCGCGAGUAGCCAGCGAGCACCUGUGACAGGCCUCUUGGACCGGGAGACGCCCCUCCACACCCGCCCAGGAAGAAGCUGCACCUUGGGGUCUCCAGACCCCCCUCAAAUGAAAUCUCAACUGCAUCCCUUUAACCUCGAACCCCAACCCAGGUUGCAGAGCCCGGAAGACCUGCCUGCCUCACAGGGAGGGUCACAGUACAGUGGGUCAGGAACAGAGGAACCAUGGCCUCCGGACUCAGAUACCCCACCGCCACCCCUGAUGAAGAGCAGGACCCUAGGCCACUCACCAUACAGCCACUGGACCCACUGGGCAGGCGCUAACCAAGCAGCGCCGGGGUAGGGGUGGGGUAGUCCAACAGCCCCUUACCCCACGCCUUUCAUCACUCAAUCCGGACUUUUAAAUAUGUGUCAAUAAAAGCAAGUGAGUUUUCAUUCAAGUUAA